GAUGAACGCUGGCGGCGUGCCUAAUACAUGCAAGUCGAGCGAACGGACGAGAAGCUUGCUUCUCUGAUGUUAGCGGCGGACGGGUGAGUAACACGUGGAUAACCUACCUAUAAGACUGGGAUAACUUCGGGAAACCGGAGCUAAUACCGGAUAAUAUUUUGAACCGCAUGGUUCAAAAGUGAAAGACGGUCUUGCUGUCACUUAUAGAUGGAUCCGCGCUGCAUUAGCUAGUUGGUAAGGUAACGGCUUACCAAGGCAACGAUGCAUAGCCGACCUGAGAGGGUGAUCGGCCACACUGGAACUGAGACACGGUCCAGACUCCUACGGGAGGCAGCAGUAGGGAAUAUUCCGCAAUGGGCGAAAGCAUGACGGAGCAACGCCGCGUGAGUGAUGAAGGUCUUCGGAUCGUAAAACUCUGUUAUUAGGGAAGAACAUAUGUGUAAGUAACUGUGCACAUCUUGACGGUACCUAAUCAGAAAGCCACGGCUAACUACGUG
rnacentral:rRNA from 1 species